rnacentral:rRNA from 1 species
UACGGAGGGAGCUAGCGUUAUUCGGAAUUACUGGGCGUAAAGCGCACGUAGGCGGCUUUGUAAGUAAGAGGUGAAAGCCCAGAGCUCAACUCUGGAAUUGCCUUUUAGACUGCAUCGCUUGAAUCAUGGAGAGGUCAGUGGAAUUCCGAGUGUAGAGGUGAAAUUCGUAGAUAUUCGCAAGAACACCAGUGGCGAAGGCGGCUCACUGGCCCGAUACUGACGCUGAGGCGCGAAAGCUAGGGGAGCAAACAGG